AUUGAACGCUGGCGGUAUGCUUAACACAUGCAAGUCGAACGGUAGCAGGCCUUCGGGCGCUGACGAGUGGCGGACGGGUGAGUAAUGCAUAGGAAUCUGCCUAUUAGUGGGGGACAACGUGGGGAAACUCACGCUAAUACCGCAUACGUCCUACGGGAGGAAGCUGGGGACCUUCGGGCCUGGCGCUAAUAGAUGAGCCUAUGUCGGAUUAGCUAGUUGGUAGGGUAAAAGCCUACCAAGGCGACGAUCCGUAGCUGGUCUGAGAGGAUGAUCAGCCACACUGGGACUGAGACACGGCCCAGACUCCUACGGGAGGCAGCAGUGGGGAAUAUUGGACAAUGGGCGAAAGCCUGAUCCAGCAAUACCGCGUGUGUGAAGAAGGCCUGAGGGUUGUAAAGCACUUUCAAUGGGAAGGAAUACCUGCCGGUUAAUACCCGGUAGACUGACAUUACCCAUACAUGAAGCACCGGCUAACUCCGUGCCAGCCGCCGCCGUAACAC
rnacentral:rRNA from 1 species